GAUGAAGAACGCAGCGAAAUGCGAUAAGUAAUGUGAAUUGCAGAAUUCAGUGAAUCAUCGAAUCUUUGAACGCACAUUGCGCCCCUUGGUAUUCCGAGGGGCAUGCCUGUUCGAGCGUCAUUAUAACCCCUCAAGCUCAGCUUGGUGUUGGGGCCUGCUGCACUGGCAGCCCUUAAAAUCAGUGGCGGCGCCAUCUGGCUCUAAGCGUAGUAAUUCUUCUCGCUAUGGAGUCCUGGUGGAUGCUUGCCAUCAACCCCAAUUUUUCUAUGGUUGACCUCGGAUCAGGUAGGGAUACCCGCUGAACUUAAGCAUAUCAAUAAGCGGAGGA
rnacentral:misc_RNA from 1 species